ACAGCCCCGUAUGCGUAAUGCGAACCAAGAUCCUUGAGUAAGGCGGGACACGUGAAAUCCUGUCUGAAAUUCGGAGGACCACCUUCGAAGCCUAAGUACUCGUGCAUGACCGAUAGCGAACUAGUACCGUGAGGGAAAGGUGAAAAGCACCCCAACGAGGGGAGUGAAAAAGUACCUGAAACUGGUUGCCUACAAACAGAUGGAGCCUGAAAGGGUGACAUCGUACCUUUUGUAUAAUGGGUCAGCGACUUAGUGUAUCGAGCAAGCUUAAGCCGGUAGGUGUAGGCGCAGCGAAAGCGAGUCUGAACAGGGCGUUCAGUUCGAUGCAUUAGACCCGAAACCGAGUGAUCUAGCCAUGAGCAGGUUGAAGGUGAGGUAACACUCACUGGAGGACCGAACCCAUAACUGUUGCAAUAGUUCGGGAUGACUUGUGGCUAGGGGUGAAAGGCCAAUCAAACUCGGAAAUAGCUGGUUCUCCGCGAAAUCUAUUUAGGUAGAGCGUCGACCGAAUACCCUGGGGGGUAAAGCACUGCAUGGGCUAGGGGUCCUCACCGGAUUACCAAACCUAAGCAAACUCUGAAUACCCAGGAGUACUAGUCGGCAGACACACGGCGGGUGCUAACGUCCGUCGUGAAAAGGGAAACAACCCUGACCAACAGCUAAGGUCCCCAAGUUAUGGCUAAGUGGGAAAGGAUGUGAGGAUCCCAAAACAACCAGGAUGUUGGCUUAGAAGCAGCCAUCAUUUAAAGAAAGCGUAACAGCUCACUGGUCUAAAUAAGGGUCUUUGCGCCUAAAAUGUAACGGGGCUAAAGCCAUACACCGAAGCUUUGGGUGCAUAGCAAUAUGCGCGGUAGCGGAGCGUUCUGUAGGCCUGUGAAGGGAGACCCGUGAGGGCUCCUGGAGGUAUCAGAAGUGCGAAUGCUGACAUGAGUAACGUAAGGAGUGUGAGAGACACUCCCGCCGAAAGACCAAGGGUUCCUGCUUAAAGUUAAUCUGAGCAGGGUUAGCCGGACCCUAAGGCGAGGCCGAAAGGCGUAGUCGAUGGGAAUCACGUUAAUAUUCGUGAGCCUGCAGGUAGUGACGGAUCAUCAAGGUAGUUCAUUCUUAUUGGAUUGAAUGGGCUGCUGCGUGGUUCCAGGAAAUAGCUCCUGCUUAUAGUCCGUACCCGAAACCGACACUGGUGGUCUGGUAGAGUAUACCAAGGCGCUUGAGAGAACUAUGCUGAAGGAACUCGGCAAAUUGCACGCGUAACUUCGGAAGAAGCGUGACCCCUUAGUACGCAAGUAUUGGGGGGUGGCACAGACCAGGGGGUAGCGACUGUUUAUCAAAAACACAGGGCUCUGCGAAGCCGCAAGGCGACGUAUAGGGUCUGACGCCUGCCCGGUGCUGGAAGGUUAAGAGGAGAGGUGCAAGCUUUGAAUCGAAGCCCC
rnacentral:rRNA from 1 species